AUCCUGGCUCAGGACGAACGCUGGCGGCGCGCCUAACACAUGCAAGUCGAACGAAGUUUCAUAACGGAAGUUUUCGGAUGGAAGAUAUGAAACUUAGUGGCGGACGGGUGAGUAACACGUGAGCAACCUGCCUUUUAGAGGGGGAUAACGUUUGGAAACGAACGCUAAUACCGCAUAACGUAGUCGAUCGGCAUCGAUUGACUACCAAAGGAGCAAUCCGCUGAAAGAUGGGCUCGCGUCCGAUUAGAUAGUUGG
rnacentral:rRNA from 1 species